AUGAAGGUCUGGCAAGCUCGAUCUAAUGACUACUCGAUAGUUCAGUGUGCCAUGCUUUACGGCUUAGAACCGGGACUUCAAAUACAUUUUGACCGUCAUGGAGCAUAUGCGAUGUUCCAAGAGUUGAAGUUAAUAUUUCAAGAAAAUGCCCGGGUUGAGAGAUAUGAAGUCUCCAACAAGUUCUAUAGUUGCAAGAUAAAGGAGAACAGUUCUGUCAGUGAACACAAACUCAAAAUGUUUGGGUAUCAUAACAACUUGACUCAGCUGGGAGUUGAUCUUCCAGUUGAUAGUGUUAUUGACAGAGUUCUUCAGUCACUGUCACUAAGAUACAAAGACUUCAUGAUGAACUAUAAUAUGCAAGGGAUGAAUAAAUGA
rnacentral:rRNA from 1 species